rnacentral:rRNA from 1 species
CCUGGUUGUUAUAGAGAGAGGGCCACACCUGUUCCCAUUCCGAACACAGAAGUUAAGUCUCUCAUCGCCGAUGGUACUGCACGGGUCACUGUGUGGGAGAGUAGGACGCUGCCGGGA